UACGUAGGGUGCAAGCGUUGUCCGGAAUUAUUGGGCGUAAAGAGCUCGUAGGCGGUUUGUCGCGUCUGCUGUGAAAACCCGAGGCUCAACCUCGGGCCUGCAGUGGGUACGGGCAGACUAGAGUGCGGUAGGGGAGAUUGGAAUUCCUGGUGUAGCGGUGGAAUGCGCAGAUAUCAGGAGGAACACCAAUGGCAAAGGCAGAUCUCUGGGCCGUAACUGACGCUGAGGAGCGAAAGCAUGGGGAGCGAACAGG
rnacentral:rRNA from 1 species